rnacentral:rRNA from 1 species
AUACGUAGGGUGCAAGCGUUAAUCGGAAUUACUGGGCGUAAAGCGUGCGCAGGCGGUUCGGAAAGAAGGAUGUGAAAUCCCAGGGCUCAACCUUGGAACUGCAUUCUUAACUACCGAACUAGAGUAUGUCAGAGGGGGGUAGAAUUCCGCGUGUAGCAGUGAAAUGCGUAGAUAUGCGGAGGAAUACCGAUGGCGAAGGCAGCCCCCUGGGAUAAUACUGACGCUCAUGCACGAAAGCGUGGGUAGCAAACAGGAUUAGAUACCCUGGUAGUCCGCGCCCUAAACGAUGUCAACUAGCUGUUGGGCCCUUCGGGUCUUAGUAGCGUAGCUAACGCGUGAAGUUGACCGCCUGGGGAGUACGGUCGCAAGAUUAAAACUCAAAUGAAUUGACGGGG